rnacentral:rRNA from 1 species
ACCUGGUUGAUCCUGCCAGUAGUCAUAUGCUUGUUUCAAGGACUAAGCCAUGCAAGUCUCAGAGUAAAUGGAUUCCAGUAGGUCUGGAGACAGGUCGUUAAAUCAUCUAAGUUCUACGUGGAGAAACUGUCUUUUGGCAGAUAAUUGGAUAACUUUGGUAACUAAAAAGUUAAUACAUGUCAGGAAAACUUGAACAGAUUUCAUUAUGAGGGCUUGGUCUUGGGGCUGUGCUAGGUGGAAUUGAGGGAAAUAAAAAUAGACGCUAGAAAUAGAAGCGGUGAUUGGAUGAAUCAGGUCAAUCGAGUAGUAGCGCAUUCUUCGGAGGCGCUUGUCGCAUGAGCAUCUGCCCUAUCAGCUUUUGACGGUAGUGUAGUGGACUACCGUGGCUGUAACGGGUAACGGGGAAUUAGGGUUCGAUUCCGGAGAGGGAGCCUGAGAAACGGCUACCACAACCAAGGUUGGCAGCAGGCGCGCAAAUUGCCCAAUAGCAACACUUCGCUGAGGCAGCGAAGAGAAAUAGAACUUCAUGCGGCCCUGCCGUGUGAAGAUUGCCAUGGACGAUAUCUGAACCUGUCGGUGAGUAUCAAUUGGUGGACAAGUCUGGUCCCACCCCCCGCGGUAAUUCCAGCACCAAUAGUGUAUAUUAAUGCUGCAGCUGUUAAAAAGCUCGUAGUUGGAUCAAGAGUCGGACAGUGCACGGGGGCCCAUUAGCCAGUUUGGCUCCGGUCAUAUUGGCGGAGGCGGAUCACCCCGUGCGCCAAACUGUCCGCUCUAACAGACCGAAACGGCUCCCUGUGAGCAGGCCCCUUCAUUGGGGUCGAAAGCGCCUACGCAUCAACCAUAUGCAUACGGGACGUCGGUCAAAGUUACUGUGAACAAACCAGCGUGUCCAAAGCAGGCUUUCCCUGAAUGUUCGACCAUGGAAUAACAAGGGAUCGAUUAUAUCCGUUCUUUUUCAUGGUUUUUAACCCGAGAAUGGGUAAUUCAGCCCACGCUAUCUGAGUUGUCCUUCCCGACCCUUUGUCUGAUGCCCCAAUUAGCCAUGUCCUUACGGAAUCAAUAGAACUGACGGAGUCGUACGUACUUCCGUGAAAUUCUUAAAUCGCGGGAAGACGAACUUCUGCGAAACCAUUCGACAAGAAUGUCUUCAUUAAUCAAGAACGAGAGUGUAAAAUCGAAGGUGAUCAGAUACCGUCGUAGUCCACUACUGUAAACAAUCCCGUCUCGGGAUUGAUAAGUGAACUGAAUGACUUUCACAGCACUAACCCCUGAAACGAGAAAUCAAAGAUUAUUUGUUCAGGGGAGAGUACAUUCGCAAGGCUGAAACUUAA